rnacentral:rRNA from 1 species
GACGAAGGGGGCUAGCGUUGUUCGGAAUUACUGGGCGUAAAGCGCGUGUAGGCGGUUGUCCAAGUUGGAUGUGAAAGCCUUGAGCUUAACUCAAGAAAUGCAUUCAGGACUGGAUGACUAGAGGACCGGAGAGGAUAGUGGAAUUCCCAGUGUAGUGGUGAAAUACGUAGAGAUUGGGAAGAACACCAGUGGCGAAGGCGGCUUCCUGGCCUGUUCUUGACGCUGAGGCGCGAAAGCUAGGGGAGCAAACGGG